AGCUCGUAGUUGGAGUUCACAGUGAGCUCAGCCGGUCCGCCUACUGGGUCAGAACUGGUUGACUCUCUCUUGUUUGUGGAUCCCUCCGGAGUUAACUCUUCGGAUGUGGAGUCCACAUCGUUUACCUUGAAAAAAUUAGAGUGUUCAAAGCAGGCGUUUGCUUGAAUAUAUUAACAUGGAAUAAUGAAAUAGGACGCUGGUUCUAUUUUGUUGGUUUUGAGAACCAGAGUAAUGAUUAAUAGGGACAGUUGGGGGGAUUCAUAUUACCUUGUCAGAGGUGAAAUUCUUGGAUUUAUGAAAGAUGAACUUCUGCGAAAGCAUUUGCCGAGGAUGUUUUCAUUAAUCAAGAACGAAAGUUAGGGGAUCGAAGACGAUCACAUACCGUCGUAAUCUUAACCAUAAACUAUGCCGACUAGGGAUUGGGCGUGGUUUGUUCAUUGACCCGCUCAGCACCUUACGAGAAAUCAAAGUCUUUGAGUUCCGGGGGGAGUAUGGUCUCAAGGCUGAAACUUAAAGGAAUUGACGGAUGCGCACCACCAGGAGUGGAGCCUGCGGCUUAAUUUGACUCAACACGGGAAAACUUACCACGUCCAGACAUAGUAAAGAUUGACAUAUUGAGAGCUCUUUCUUGAUUCUAUGGGUGGAGGUGCAUGGCCGUUCUUACUUGGUGGAGUGAUUUGUCUGGUUAAUUCCGAUAACGAACGAGACCUUAUCCUACUAAAUAGUUACGCCGAUACUUUUGUAUCAGCGGGCAACUUCUUAGAGGGACUAUCGGUGUUCAACCGGU
rnacentral:rRNA from 1 species